AAUAAAUAUGCAAUGAUCUGUGAAUGUUUUUCGCCCUUCUACUGUUCAUUUUCGCCUUGCCUUCGCGCAAGGUGGAGGGUUUGUGCGAUAGUGUAUUAUUAUUAACUGAGUAACAUGAACGUGUUGUAGAUGUGUCCUGAGCGCCCAUGGGAGAGCACCAAAAUGCGCGUGCUAAAUAACUAAAGGAGCCUUGACCACCACUGAAACUUGAACAUGAGUUGUGUUGCAAUCUUGCGGAGUAUAUUGAAAGAACCCCCCUCUUUUCGUGUGACUGUCUUAGUGGGGGUGGGGAGCCGUUUUCACGGUACAGUUAUUAAAAUAAUCGCGCACAGCCUACAACCCUCCCUUCCUGGUUAUCUUCUUUGUAGCAAGCACAUUUGAAGCGCCAUGUUAGUGCAUCUGCUUGAAUGCGAUCCUGUACGUCGUCGAAACGGGAAAUACAUCGGAACAUGGCUUCCCUGUCGGGUUUUCUGUAGCUUUUGCUGGAAGACGGGAAACCGUCGUGUCCGGCACUGACCACAGUCAUGAGAGCAGGUGUGUGAUCUGAAGGCCUCUGACAGGGAGCUUGGACUGGAGGAGCUGAGAGAGGAGUGGAGGGAAACAGGGCUGCUCCAGCACUCCACAGCAGAGAGCUCUCUGACCUCAGGAUCUUGUUCCCAUCGUGGUCCCGUGUCUGCCACCGGAGGGCGCCGACAGGGGUGCAGGGGUGAGGCAGAUGUAGGCGAAGGGGCUGGAGGUCGUCGACCCUGAACUCCAAGAGGGCAGAGGGCAGGCGGGAGGGGUGCGCCUCGGGGGGCAGGCGCUUGAGGGCCAGCUGAACCUCGCACCCGGGGCGGGGGCGGAACAGGGCGAAGCAGGCGAACCCCUCCCGCUCUACGGCUGGCCCCCGGCCCAGGAUGGUGGCGUACAGUGCGGCGGCGAGGGGGAAGGAGGCGUGCCGACAGUACCGGGUGUAGCGCACUGCUUCUGGCCCGUAGUGCACCUGCCGAACUGCCCAGAGGGGCAGGUCUCGCGCCCCUCCCAGACUGUAGAAGUCCUGGCCCGCCGGCUGGUAGGGGCGGAUCCCUCGCCGGCGUGGGGCCAGGCCCUCGGUGUGGUGGUACCGCCAUGGCGGGCGGGACAUGUGCGCUCGCAGGAACGUCAGCGCCCUGUUCUCCCCCAGGCCCUCCUCCUCCUCCUCCUCCCGCAGGAACAGCACCACCGCCAGGGCGGGCUGAGGGAGGAGCCCCGGGGGCGUGGCCUCGAUGGGCGGAGCCUCUCGAUGCCGCUCACACUCCGACACCCAAACCAGCGUUGGAGGGGUUGGGGGCGGGACCACGGCCUGGAGAACCACUCUGGUCAUCCUCUGGAUUUCGCCCCCACAGCCCGGGUUGGCCAGAAGGUGCAGAGUCACCAGGGGGGCCUGCGGAUUCCCCUCACCCGGAGACCAGUCAGUCGCAGCCCCCCACCCUGCAGCCACACACAGGGACAGGCAGAGACACAGAGAGGGGCCUUCAUGUUUGGAGUUUUUGUCACAUGAUUUGUUUUGACAUUGAAGUCAACCCCGAUAUGCUAACUAAUGCUGGCUGUUCUCAUAAUUUGCACAACAACAAAAAAAAACAUUUACACAAUUCAGGAAUGUAAACAACAAAGGUGAAUCCACAGUCAUGCAAAAUGUAUUUUCCUGGAUUUUCACAAGGAAGGCAGUGUUUUCUUUGAAACCAAGUCUCAGUAAUUGCCAGUGUAUUGUAGUAAAGAAGUUAGUUUGCCUAUAUUCAGGUUAAACUGUUGAACACAUUCACAGCAUUACCAGCUCAAUCAUUAAUGGUCUCACUGGGGACAGAUGCACAGACUGGCUACCAGGGGUGUAACACACAAUUCUGGGCCCUGUGUGCAAAUGCAGUCUCUGUGGCCGCCCUUCCCCUUUGUAGUCCAGGCCUUUUAAGGCCCCACCCUUCCACCCCGUCCCUGCGUGGGCCCAGGGCAGUCAGUUCCACUAUUCCCCAGUAAUAGUAAUCUGAAGCAAAUGACAAGUCACAACUAUUCUUUAAAGCAUACAUUGGUAUUUCAAACAUAUGGCCUUAAGAGGGAAAACCACCUCUCAGCAGAGAUUAACAAUGUCUUAAUUAAGAACAAUUAACAGAUUGUUACAAUUAAAAAGUUGCAAUUACAGUUGGAAUGAGAACUAGAAUACAUAGGGGCCCCAAGAGACCACCCACCCCUCCCCUUUCAUGAAAGAUUUUCAGCAUUUCAGUCCCAGGCAAUCUAGUCUGCUAUUGACAACCCCACCCCCGACACACACGCUGACACAAACAGGCACACACAAACAGGCACACACAAACACACUCUUUUUAUAUGCCUGUGCACAGGGCUUUGACGUUUAAAUCUCCUUAAACCUCUGUGCCUGUGGAGUACUGGUGGCGUCUGGAAUGCCCGACACCCACCACACAUGACCCAGGCUUGCGAGUCAUGCAAAGCUGGCACACACACAGAGUGACUACAAUGCCUUUCCACAGAUAUGCCCACCCUUUCAUCUGUUGUCCUGAUAACCUCCACAGCACCCAUGUGCACCCUGAUCUAUGUAGUACUUACAGUAGUUUUCAUGGGACAUCUGGCUCCACUCAGACCUAAAGUAAUAACAGGGUAUGAGAUCAAGUAGCCCACAAAGGGUUGUUAUAAAGAGCAAAAUAAAAUUUUCUUAUAAAUUUUUUUUUAAAAGUUGUGAAAAAUAUUGUUGCUUCCGUGGCAGGAUUAUCACAAAACAAAACGAUACCCUGGUGAGUCACCCCGCGGGUGCGCGCACAGCCGUUACGGCCAUUCAGCCCUAUUGAUAAGAAACUGAAAAGGCGAAGGACAAGUUGGUUUCAUUAUACGUGGGGGUAAAUGAUCUGUCAGUCAGUUAAGAAAAGAACCAUAACCCAUUGUCCCAAGAGAAGGACUCAGGACAAGUAUAUAAAAGCUAUUGUCUUCUGUAGGGAAGACCAGCAGAACAUUCCUGAGAAAUAUUCUGAGCUGAUGGUUUGAAAAAGGCUAAUGGAAAUCCAUUUUAUUAUUAUUUUUUUAAUUUAUUCGUCAUUUAUGUAUUGUUUGUUUGUUGUUUGUUUUUCACUUAGUUUAGCUUCUUUCUGUAUAGUCAUAUCGCAAUGAACAACUAAAAAAUCUACAAAAUUA